GAUGAACGCUGGCGGCGUGCCUAAUACAUGCAAGUCGAGCGAACAGACGAGGAGCUUGCUCCUCUGACGUUAGCGGCGGACGGGUGAGUAACACGUGGAUAACCUACCUAUAAGACUGGGAUAACUUCGGGAAACCGGAGCUAAUACCGGAUAAUAUAUUGAACCGCAUGGUUCAAUAGUGAAAGACGGUUUUGCUGUCACUUAUAGAUGGAUCCGCGCCGCAUUAGCUAGUUGGUAAGGUAACGGCUUACCAAGGGGACGAUGCGUAGCCGACCUGAGAGGGUGAUCGGCCACACUGGAACGGAGACGGGGUCCAGAGUCCUACGGGAGGCAGCAGUAGGGAAUGGUCCGCAAUGGGCGAAAGCCUGACGGAGCGACGCCGCGUGAGUGAUGAAGGUCUUCGGAUCGUAAAACUCUGUUAUGAGGGAAGAACAAAUGUGGAAGUAACUAUGCACGUCUUGACGGUACCGAAUCAGAAAGCCACGGCUAACUACGUG
rnacentral:rRNA from 1 species